rnacentral:rRNA from 1 species
AACGUAGGUUCCGAGCGUUAUCCGGAUUUACUGGGCGUAAAGCGCGUUCAGGCGGUUUGGCAAGUCUGGCAUGAAAUCUCUCGGCUCAACCGGGAGAGGUUGUCCGAUACUGCUGGACUUGAGGGCAGUAGAGGGUGGUGGAAUUCCGGGUGUAGUGGUGAAAUGCGUAGAUAUCCGGAGGAACACCAGUGGCGAAAGCGGCCACCUGGACUGCACCUGACGCUGACACGCGAAAGCUAGGGGAGCGAACGGG